rnacentral:rRNA from 1 species
UACGUAGGGUGCGAGCGUUGUCCGGAAUUAUUGGGCGUAAAGAGCUCGUAGGCGGUUUGUCGCGUCUGCCGUGAAAGUCCGGGGCUCAACUCCGGAUCUGCAGUGGGUACGGGCAGACUAGAGUGUGGUAGGGGAGACUGGAAUUCCUGGUGUAGCGGUGAAAUGCGCAGAUAUCAGGAGGAACACCGAUGGCGAAGGCAGGUCUCUGGGCCAUAACUGACGCUGAGAAGCGAAAGCAUGGGGAGCGAACAGG